rnacentral:lncRNA from 1 species
CUUAUUAUCAUGAGGAGGGACAGAAAAUCAUCAGAAACCUAGAUGGCUUGUUUUUUUCCACAGACCUUUUCAAGGCGCAGGUUGCGUUAUGAACAGCACUGUCUGAGAAACAGCACUAGUGACCACAAAAAUGCAGAAAAGCAGUAAUGACUAACUUAAAUCAAUAUUAAACAAACGAAAUGAGCCCACGGGCCUUUGGAUUAAGAAGCUGCUGUUAUGCUUCAGUUUUUCAGAAUGCAUGGUACUUCACAUCCUCCACAUUCAUGUGUAUAUGGAACACUGAAAACUAGAAAGCUCUCCUACCACAAAAUGUAUCUGUACACAAUACUAACAGCUGAGAGGCACCUUGAGGAAGUGAGCAUCAUGAAAAAGAGUUAACCAACAAAAGCGAUCAUGUGUCUUUUGUGGUGGUGCCAGAAACAGGAGAGAGCCAGGUGUAUUAUCCACAGCCCCAUUCAUCAUUUCAGAGAAGUGGAC